rnacentral:rRNA from 1 species
UUUGCCUACGGGGGGCAGCAGUGGGGAAUAUUGCACAAUGGGGGAAACCCUGAUGCAGCGACGCCGCGUGAGUGAAGAAGUAUUUCGGCAUGUAAAGCUCUAUCAGCAGGGAAGAAAAUGACGGUACCUGACUAAGAAGCCCCGGCUAACUACGUGCCAGCAGCCGCGGUAAUACGUAGGGGGCAAGCGUUAUCCGGAAUUACUGGGUGUAAAGGGAGCGUAGGCGGCAUGGUAAGCCAGAUGUGAAAGCCCGCGGCUUAACCGCGCGGAUUGCAUUUGGAACUAUCAAGCUAGAGUACAGGAGG